UACGUAGGGUGCAAGCGUUGUCCGGAAUUAUUGGGCGUAAAGAGCUCGUAGGCGGUUUGUCACGUCGGCUGUGAAAACUCGGGGCUCAACCCCGAGCCUGCAGUCGAUACGGGCAGACUAGAGGUAGGUAGGGGAGAAUGGAAUUCCCGGUGUAGCGGUGAAAUGCGCAGAUAUCGGGAGGAACACCGGUGGCGAAGGCGGUUCUCUGGGCCUUACCUGACGCUGAGGCACGAAGGUCAGGGGAGCAAACGGG
rnacentral:rRNA from 1 species